ensembl:lncRNA ILVBL-AS1 ILVBL antisense RNA 1
CCCAACUCCAGCUGCCUCACAGCCCUACACAUCCAAGGCUUGCUUUAAAUCUCCUAAGUCCUGAAGAAAAUGAAGACAGAAAGAACAGCACCUACUUUCAAGGAAAAGGAGGCCACGCCCCUCAGCGGCUUCAGGAGCCCAGACCUUUGGGGGCCCACCUUCCGCAGCUUUCCAUUGGCCCCACGGUGGAAGCCCGUAGGUUCAGGCCCUCCGAACACAGCUCGCUUUCCACACCAGCGGGGCCGUACCAGAGCAAGACCAUGUCUCACAAAAUAAUAAUAAUACUUAAAAAAUGGUAAAUUUUAUGUUAUGUAUAUUUUCCACACUAUAAAUAAAUAUUUGUGCAUGUAUAUAUA